rnacentral:rRNA from 1 species
GAUGAACGCUGGCGGCGUGCCUAACACAUGCAAGUCGAACGGAGUCCAGCCUUUAAGACCUUCGGGUCAAAGAGGGGAAGACUGAGUGGCGGACGGGUGAGUAACACGUGGGCAACCUGGCUCAUAGAGGGGGAUAACAGAGAGAAAUUUCUGCUAAUACCGCAUAAGCACACACUGCCGCAUGCAGAGGGUGAAAAGAGAAUCGCUAUGAGAUGGACCCGCGUCUGAUUAGCCAGUUGGCAGGGUAAGAGCCUACCAAAGCGACGAUCAGUAGCCGAUCUGAGAGGAUGAACGGCCACAUUGGGACUGAGACACGGCCCAAACUCCUACGGGAGGCAGCAGUGGGGGAUAUUGCACAAUGGGGGGAACCCUGAUGCAGCGACGCCGCGUGAGUGAAGAAGUAUUUCGGUAUGUAAAGCUCUAUCAGCAGGGAAGAUAAUGACAGUACCUGAAGAAGAAGCCCCGGCUAACUACGUG